UACGGGGGGUGCGAGCGUUGUCCGGAAUCACUGGGCGUAAAGGGCGCGUAGGUGGUUUGAUAGGGGUGUGGUGAAAGUCCGGAGCUCAACUCCGGAUCUGCCGUGCCGACUGUCAAACUCGAGGGCUGUAGAGGCAGACGGAAUUCCGGGUGUAGCGGUGGAAUGCGUAGAGAUCCGGAGGAAGACCGGUGGCGAAGGCGGUCUGCUGGGCAGUUUCUGACACUGAGGCGCGACAGCGUGGGGAGCAAACAGG
rnacentral:rRNA from 1 species